rnacentral:rRNA from 1 species
GGUGGCGCAGCUAACGCAUUAAGUUAUCCGCCUGGGGAGUACGGCCGCAAGGUUAAAACUCAAAGGAAUUGACGGGGGCCUGCACAAAGCAUGUGGUUUAAUUCGAAGCAACGCGCAGAACCUUACCAGCGUUUGACAUGGUAGGACGACUUCCAGAGAUGGAUUUCUUCCCUUCGGGGACCUACACACAGGUGCUGCAUGGCUGUCGUCAGCUCGUGUCGUGAGAUGUUGGGUUAAGUCCCGCAACGAGCGCAACCCUCGACUUUAGUUACCAUCAUUAAGUUGGGUACUUUAAAGUAACCGCCGGUGAUAAGCCGGAGGAAGGUGGGGAUGACGUCAAGUCCUCAUGGCCCUUACGCGCUGGGCUACACACGUGCUACAAUGGCAAGUACAGUGGGCAGCAAUCCCGCGAGGGUGAGCUAAUCUCCAAAACUUGUCUCAGUUCGGAUUGUUCUCUGCAACUCGAGAGCAUGAAGGCGGAAUCGCUAGUAAU